CUGUGCUUGAUUAGAGAAUCAGGUGUGUGCUAAGUGACUGGAUGAGAGCUUGUCUUUUGGAGUCUCAACACCUCCAUACUCUCCUUUUACCAACCCUGUCAAAAAGGUUCCCUUGGCUUGUUUUUCACAUCUGCCUUCCCUUUGUUCCCCUCACAUGAAAGAACCCUGAGCUGCAAGUCAGAUCUUUCUUAAAAAAGCUCCAAACUUUGCUGUCUGUAUGGUACAGAGGCUCCCAGCUGGGGUUAAAGUUCUGCUGGAAGAAAUAACUUUGGAUGAGAAGAAAGGAGCAGAGAGGGAAGCCAGCAUCAAUCUCACAUGGCAGAGCAGGGAGCAGCACCCAGAUAUUUUUCUGUUUUCUGUUCCAGAGCUCCAGCAUUGCAAAAUCUCCUUUCCUAAACACAGUGAAUCCAAAUGGACCUGCCUGUGCAUCUCUCCCACAGGAACCACCUUCAGAAAGGUUAUUUUGGGAGUUCCUUGGGAUUGAAGGCUGCUCAGAUAGGGCUGAUGGCUCAUUGCUUUCUCUGUGCUAAAAAGGUCAGGCUGCUCCAGGUGACCUUUCUGCUGGGAAAGCUGCAGGUCUGUGAGCUGCCUUUUUGCUGUCCCGUGUGAAGGGAUUGCUCUACAGAUUCAGCAUGAACAGCUCUGUGCUUCCCUUGCUCUGGGAAUUGGAAAACCCAAAACUGCCACACACACUGAAGGGUUUGAGCUGCAGCCUUGGGAGCAGCUUGGACUGAUGUAAAAAUACAAUAUACAGACAUUAAGCAGAAAAAUCAUAAACUUAUGUUGCUAUAAGAAAGUUGUAAGUAAGAAUAUGCCUUAAGUGAGAAACUGCAUUGAUAAAAUGGUGAACCCUACCCUGAUGUAGGGGUGUGGUUGUAUAGAGCAAGCUAAGGAUUCAGAAAUUAUAAAAGAAGCAUUUGUGUGUACAUGUGAUAGCAGCCCAUUGGAUAAAAGUAUCUGCAGUGCAGAAAAAUUCAGUAAAGGUGAUAGGUCAGAAAAGCAAAAUAAACUUUGUGGCAACUGUCCA
rnacentral:lncRNA from 1 species